CGUAGGGAACCUGCGGNUGGAUCACCUCCUUUUUAAGGAGUCAUUGACUCUAAAGAAAACUCGGGCCAAGGGCCACUNUUCAAUACAUCCUUACACAACACUACGAAGUAGAUUCAGGUAUCGGUUCAGACGGAGACUUUCCAUAAGAAGAGUUCGCGAUACAGGCCCUGGUCGCUUCAGACUCAGCUGGGCCUGUAGCUCAGUUGGUUAGAGCACGCGCUUGAUAAGCGCGGGGUCGAUAGUUCAACUCUAUCCAGGCCCACCAUUCGUGCAGAGUCACACGUCCAUUGUCAGGCGUCAUUCGGGAGAGAGCUCCGACACGCUUCACGUAUGACGCUUCACGAUUGACGGGCUUCUGGGGCUGUAGCUCAAUUGGGAGAGCACCUGCUUUGCAAGCAGGGGGUCGUCGGUUCAAUUCCGUCCAGCUCCACCAAAUCUUCUGGUGUGAUGCAGCGGAGCUCGCUCUGUUGCUCAACUUCCUCUACUCAGCGUCGAAUGACGGUCUAACCGUCAUUCUGUUCUUUGACAAUUGAAUAGGUCUUGAUGAAAGACCAUGUGUAUCAGGAGCAAAGUGAUUGUUAAGCUACUAAGGGUGUACGGUGAAUGCCCCUGGCAUCCAGCAGGCGAUGAAGGACGUGCUAA
rnacentral:tRNA from 1 species